rnacentral:tRNA from 1 species
GCGGAUAUAGCUCAGUGGUAGAGCAUUCGACUUCAGAUCGAGAGGCCCCGGUUCAAAUCCGGGUGUUCCCU